GAUGAACGCUGGCGGCGUGCCUAAUACAUGCAAGUCGAGCGAACAGACGAGGAGCUUGCUCCUCUGACGUUAGCGGCGGACGGGUGAGUAACACGUGGAUAACCUACCUAUAAGACUGGGAUAACUUCGGGAAACCGGAGCUAAUACCGGAUAAUAUAUUGAACCGCAUGGUUCAAUAGUGAAAGACGGUUUUGCUGUCACUUAUAGAUGGAUCCGCGCCGCAUUAGCUAGUUGGUAAGGUAACGGCUUACCAAGGCAACGAUGCGUAGCCGACCUGAGGGGGGGAAGGGCCACAAGGGAAAUGAGACACGGGCCAAAACCCUAAGGGAGGAAGGAGGAGGAAAUUUUCCGCAAGGGGGAAAAGCAGAAGGGAACAACGCGGGGGAGGUGAAGAAGGGUUUGGAAUAGUAAAACUUUUUUAUGAGGAAAAAAAAAAUGUGUAAGAAAAUAUGCAAGUUUUGAGGGUACAAAAUCAAAAAGCCACGGCAAAAUAAGU
rnacentral:rRNA from 1 species